UUGAUUAAAUAAAGUUAUAUUUAAAAUAAAUUCGCGUAUUAGAGUCAGUGCAUCACUGAAGAUGGUCGAGAAAUUAAUAAUUUCAUCUAUGAAAUAAAAUUGAUUAUCAUUAUGAUCGUGCCUUACCAGUUUAAGAUGUUGAGCUACUUCAUUUUCAACUUAUUUGGAUAUCAACUUCAUUUUCAACUUCCUACGGAUCAUCCUGCUUAAAUUUGGAGUUAUGUGGCGUAGGAGUGUUUUGGAGCCAUCGCAGAACUUCUUAAGUAUAUUUAGGCAGUAUCGACAAUAGCACGUGUAAACAAUCUAAGGACGAUCAAGAGAACGACCUUUCUAGUUCAUCUCUUCGCAGUUCUUGUUUGUACCAGCAGCCGUCCAGACGUGUUCAGACUCGUUCCUGCUUUAUUAAUUUUGGUUAUUAUUCGUCAUAUUGGUCAAUAUAAUAUUCAUCAUUUCGUUUGGACGCCUACAUAUUUGAUAGCAGUUAUACUUCCUCCUGCUCUUUAUAU